CAGAGCGCGGGCUGCUUAGACGGUUGGAGCGCGGUGGGAGUCCGGGCUUUGUCCCUCUGUGCUGGAGUUAGGCCGGGGGCUUUUCCUUCCAUACUGCUCCUCAAGUUCCUUGAGAAGGCACCUGAAGGCAGAUGGGUUUUUUUUCCCCUUAUUCGGGGAAAAAACCAACAACUCCGAGAGAAUCGGUGGGGACAGCAGGAGACGGAUAAGCUAGACUUUCAGGAGCAUUUCCCUGCCGGAGACCAGGCUUGCGGAGGCUCUUCUAUUCCUUUUUCAAGUCCCUUGUGGGCAAGGAUGUGGUCGUGGAACUCAAGAAUGACCUGAGUCUUGCGAACCUAAUCCAGAGUAGGUGUAGGUGACUCGCGUGUGGUUGUCCGUCCUCUUCAGCUCUCACCUAUGAGUUGAAUAUCAGCUCCACUGAGACAGUGCUUGAAGGUUAGCCAGAACAGCAGCUCCUCUUGUCACACGUGGCAUCAGAUCCCUGUUGUGCAGGAGAUGUAAGACUGGACACAGUGGACUGAAUGACAGCAAGGCUGGAGAAGACCUGUAACACAUGACGAGAGGACACAUCCACUUUGCAGCCUCCGCAGUCCCCAGCCUCUCCUACCUGUUCUCUUUUUUUUAAAUGCCAUCUCAGCUUCAGAACUUAAUAAUAUGUUGUGUGUUAUGGAUAUUUUCCAUGUCAAUAAAGCAGUUGAUCUUAA